GACGAACGCUGGCGGCGUGCUUAACACAUGCAAGUCGAACGAAGUGGCGAACGGGUGAGUAACGCGUAAUCAACCUGCCCUUCAGAGGGGGUCAACAGUUUGAAACGACUGCUAAUCCCCCAUCCUGCAGGAGGGGUUUGCGUCUGAUUAGCUAGUUGGAGGGGUAACGGCCCACCAAGGCGAUGGUCAGUAGCCGGGUGGAGAGGAUGAACGGCCAAAGUGGGACUGAGGCACGGCCCAGACGCCUACGGGAGGCAGCAGUGGGGAAUCUUCCGCAAUGGACGAAAGUCUGACGGAGCAACGCCGCGUGAGUGAUGACGGCCUUCGGGGUGUAAAGCUCUGUUAAUCGGGACGCGGUACCGGAAUAGAAAGCCACGGCUAACUACGUGCCAGCAGCCGCGGUAAUAC
rnacentral:rRNA from 1 species